GGGCUUGGAAUCAUCUUAUUGGGCCUUGCCUUCAAGAACUUGGGCUUGUAUUCUAUCUUCUACCGAAAUUGGUUCGUUGAUGCUCGUAAUGGAGAUCCAAUGCGCUUUGGCUGCAAGAUUUGGUUUCUUGGACCAAGAUUUCCAAGAAUUGAAAUCUUGAUUUUCUUGAUUCUUGAAAUCGCUCCAAACAGCAAGAUUGGGUCAAUAUUCGGUUUCUUGAUUUUCUUGAAAACAAGAAAGUGAAUCUUGAUUUUCUCUUUCUUUCGUGUACGCAUCCUAAGGCCUUUGUGACUCGUAUCAAGCCAAACGAUAGAGGGUUGCGCGCGGACCAAGAUCGAGUUGCCAAGUCACGAGAAAACUCCUAUGAGGCUCUAAACGAACAGAUCUGAAACGAAACAGAAAUUAAAAGAUUAGAACUUUGAAUUUCCAGAUCUGAAAUAAAAAUCCCCAAAGCAGCAAAGAAUCAAAUUGAGAAUAGGAAUAAG
rnacentral:lncRNA from 1 species